rnacentral:lncRNA from 1 species
AUAGAACUUUACCAUGAAAUGCUUACUUAUGAGCCCUUUCCCAACGAUGCAGAGUAAUAAAAAAAACCCACAAGGAAUAAAAUACACAAGAAUGAAGCUAUAUACAGGGAGUACCAGUAGUAUAUCAAUGAGGCAGAUGAAAAUGCGCAGCGCUCCGUUUUUAGGUCAGUGGGACACGGAAUGGCGCUCUCUCUCUCUCCCUUCUUUUGAUCGACGAGUGGAAACAUUGUGACCUUCCUGACAUUCUAGUUUUCAGUUUUCCCUCGCAACUUUGUUUUUAAAACAUACUACACCCUCUAGUAUUGUGUCUGGGUGAAAACCGAGACAGAGGAAGAGAUGGCUCAUCUGGUGGCUGUGGUGAUUCUUUAGGGGAAAGAAAGAGCAGAGCAAAAUAGGAGGGAAUUCCUAGCUGUCUGUCUCUCACUGUGAAAAAAAGACAGAGAAAAGUGUCCUGGAAGGUGUAACCACUAAAACUAUUAUGCAAAUGAGGAAAUGAGGAAGGGAGCUGCCACUGUGAGAAAGAUAUACUGUAAACUAGUAUUAUUAUGUAAUAAAAUGGUCAUACUCUAGAUUGUUAUGAUGAGGUUGAAGCUAGGUCAAGUUGUUAUGAUGAGGUUGAGACUAGAUCUAUAUUGUUAUGAGGUUGAGACUAGGUCAGGUUGUUAUGACAAGGUUGAGACUAGGGUCUAGGUUGUUAUGAUGUGGUUGAUACCAGGUCAGGUUGUUAUGAUGAGGUUGAUACCAGGUCAGGUUGUUAUGACAAGGUUGAGACUAGGUCAGGUUGUUAUGAUGAGGUUGAGACUAGGGUCUAGGUUGUUAUGAUGUGGUUGAUACCAGGUCA